rnacentral:sRNA from 2 species
AUGUACCACGCGUCCACUGCGGUUCCGGGCGCGCGGUCCGCGCCCACCUGACAGCUGCUCGCUCCGUGUUGUUAGCC